CCUUCCAUGGAAUGGUAGACGGCAGCAGCAGCACAGCAGCAGGCUUCCAUCUUCAUAUAAAAAUCUUUUCCUUCCAUCCCACUCUCUCUAUUCCCAAAAUAUCACAAAGUAUUCUCUCCCUCUCUUUUCUUUCUUUUUUUUAUUCUUUCGUGGGAACUUGGCUUCUCCCCUGUUCCGAAGAGAUCCUGGAACCGGACCCCCAAAGCUUCUUCUUCUCCCUGUGAACUAUGUGGGAUUCCACCUCUGAGAAGAUGAUGGGAGCAGCCCCCAGUGGGGGAAGAGGGAAUGUCCCCCGGUGGGGAAGGAGGAAUGAAUUCUCUGUUUCAUGCGUGGCCCCUUUUAUAGGCUGCCCACCUCUCUCUCCAUUCCCGGUUGAGAGGAGAUGACGAUGAAUCACGGAAAGACGCAGGAGGUUGCUGGGACUGGAGCUUAUCCGGAAGAAGAUUGAGAUGAUCUGUGGUCGAUGGAGGCUGAUCGCAAAUGGGAGAGAGGCUGCAGACGUGGAGGGAAGGAGCCUUGAAUCACGGAUGGUGGCUUGGUUCUGAAGGACAGUGACGUGGAUGACGAGAUGAACUUGGAUGAAGAUGGAUCGCAACGGGAUGAGGAUACGAUGG
rnacentral:lncRNA from 1 species